AGGGAAUCUUCCGCAAUGGGCGAAAGCCUGACGGAGCAACGCCGCGUGAGUGAUGAAGGUCUUCGGAUCGUAAAACUCUGUUAUUAGGGAAGAACAAAUGUGUAAGUAACUAUGCACGUCUUGACGGUACCUAAUCAGAAAGCCACGGCUAACUACGUGCCAGCAGCCGCGGUAAUACGUAGGUGGCAAGCGUUAUCCGGAAUUAUUGGGCGUAAAGCGCGCGUAGGCGGUUUUUUAAGUCUGAUGUGAAAGCCCACGGCUCAACCGUGGAGGGUCAUUGGAAACUGGAAAACUUGAGUGCAGAAGAGGAAAGUGGAAUUCCAUGUGUAGCGGUGAAAUGCGCAGAGAUAUGGAGGAACACCAGUGGCGAAGGCGACUUUCUGGUCUGUAACUGACGCUGAUGUGCGAAAGCGUGGGGAUCAAACAGGAUUGGAUACCCUGGUAGUCCACGCCGUAAACGAUGAGUGCUAAGUGUUAGGGGGUUUCCGCCCCUUAGUGCUGCAGCUAACGCAUUAAGCACUCCGCCUGGGGAGUACGACCGCAAGGUUG
rnacentral:rRNA from 1 species